AUCCGGGUUGCGGACAGUGUCUGGUGGGUAGUUUGACUGGGGCGGUCUCCUCCCAAAGAGUAACGGAGGAGCACGAAGGUUGGCUAAUCCUGGUCGGACAUCAGGAGGUUAGUGCAAUGGCAUAAGCCAGCUUGACUGCGAGCGUGACGGCGCGAGCAGGUGCGAAAGCAGGUCAUAGUGAUCCGGUGGUUCUGAAUGGAAGGGCCAUCGCUCAACGGAUAAAAGGUACUCCGGGGAUAACAGGCUGAUACCGCCCAAGAGUUCAUAUCGACGGCGGUGUUUGGCACCUCGAUGUCGGCUCAUCACAUCCUGGGGCUGAAGUAGGUCCCAAGGGUAUGGCUGUUCGCCAUUUAAAGUGGUACGCGAGCUGGGUUUAGAACGUCGUGAGACAGUUCGGUCCCUAUCUGCCGUGGGCGCUGGAGAAUUGAGGGGGGCUGCUCCUAGUACGAGAGGACCGGAGUGGACGCAUCACUGGUGUUCGGGUUGUCAUGCCAAUGGCACUGCCCGGUAGCUAAAUGCGGAAGAGAUAAGUGCUGAAAGCAUCUAAGCACGAAACUUGCCCCGAGAUGAGUUCUCCCUGAGAC
rnacentral:rRNA from 3 species